rnacentral:lncRNA from 1 species
GAGAUUAUUUUUGCUUGAACAACCAGUGUUUUUCAGGAUGACAAAGAGAAAAAUAUAGAAAUUUAAGUGCAAACGUGGAAUCAGCUACAAAUCCUAAAGAUGGUGUGUAUGCCUUUGUGUGCUUGUAUAAAGCAUGUGUGUUGGUGAAUAAAGGUAUGCCAGUGGGGUGUGUGUGUGUGUGUGUGUGUGUCUGUGUAUCGUGACACAUGGGUGUACAGUAUUUCCUCCAUAGCUGCCUGUCGGCUUCAGGAAUGAAUGACAAUUUUCUUUUUUAUGAAAAGGGAUAUAACGGCACAGGGCGGAUGCAGUAUUUCUAUUAUUGAGCUGACCUAACACGGUAUUUGCAUGAGUUGCAGUUGUGAAGUUUUGAGCAGUUUUGUAUUGGUAAUUUGACAUUUAGAACACACUUUAUUUAUUCUCAUGCUUUGUGUCCCUGCCUCGUGUUUCACAGAGGAUACCAGCUUCACUCUUCCUGUCACUUCAGGGAAUAUGAUAGGGACGCUCACUAAUUAGGUGCCCCGAGUUUCUGAAUGAGAAAAUGUUUCAUUUCUGGUGGGGAAGGGGAGGCGGGAGGAGGGGGAGAAGGCGUGGAAGGGGAAGGAGGAAGAAAAAAGAACUAACCAGCCUUCAUUAUUUUUCCUUUAUUUUAAAGCUAUUUCUUACAAGCAAUAAUUAAAUCCGACCUUGCUAAAAUUCAUUUUUGUUUUUAUGUUAUUAUGUCAUAAGUUCUAAUAUGUUAUUCUAAUAAGUAUCGACUCCACAAUAUUUAUAUGUACACUCCACACGCUAUCUUUGCUUUGCUUUUGUUUUUGUAUUAAACUAGUAUUGACUUUGGGGAAAAGCUUAUUCACUGAUAAGUAGUGGGCACAAAAUAAAAAGAUGGAGUUGUCUUAUGGUUAAUAAGGAUGCAAAACUCCAAGGCAGAUACUGCAGUUGCUAGCCAAAAUCGUACGUUGGAAGUGCACACCGUCUUAGAUGGUUCAUUCUUUUAACCAUAAAAUGCUAGCCACUGAGGACAGAAAGCAAAGGCUGCAGGGAGUGUGCUUUAUAGUGAGGGAGGCGGGCCCAGAAGCAAAUGUCUCAGAUUAGAAGUCCCACUAGGUAGAUGGGCCCACUGGAGAAGGAUCGUCUUUGUCUAAGGAUUUCCAGUUGGAGGCCCCAGAUGCCCGGCCUGUUUACACAGUGAGAUGAAAGUUCCUUCCCUAGGGGAACACAGGGAUUAGGAUGCAUGGGGCGGGGGAGGUAGCUACCUUCUCUAGGGGCCUCCCCACCUCAAAGACAACAGUGGCAGAGCCCAUGGAGAGCAGGCUAGUACUAGGAGCGGUACAAGAAAGCAAACAAGCUAUGCCAUGUCUUCUGGUGUCUGCUAGAGACCGUGGAAGCAUCAUGACUUCCUUAAAUUUCUUGUCCUGUUUAGAAGGGAAAUGUGGACCUUUGUGGAGGCCACACUGAGGAAAGAAUUGGCAGCCGGUGCCCACACUCCGUGGAGUUACUUCUGUGGCAGAUGAAGUGGUCUUUUGGCGGCAGUAGAUUGAGUGGGAAGUUCUGAAGUUUGAGGGAAUAGACUCCAUUAGUAGGUGAGACACCCUGUCUCUUCCCGCUCACAGGGCUUUUAUCGCUGGCCUCUCCAUUUCCCAGUUGUGCUCUUUUCUCUGAACUGCCCUCCAAAGAUGGCCAUCUGUUUCCUAGCUUUCCUCCCUGACAGUUCUAGUGCAUUCUAUUAAGAUGGAAAGCACAGUUCCAUCAGAGAGCCAGCUUUUCUCUGUGUUCUUUGAGGGUAUUUUAAAAAAAUUUUUUGAGGGGCGGGUGUUUGUUUUUUCUCAUUCAGGAAACAUUUGAGCCAUUGCUUUGGACAUAUCACUGUGCUAGGCUCUAGGAUCCCACGUGGGCCCCAGUCACUUUCCCAGGAUGGAGCUGAUCCCUGGAGGAAAGUCUUCCUUCCCUGCCCCUUAACCCUGAGAUGAAGAGGCUCGACAUUAGUCCAGCCUCCCCUGCAUCAGCACAUACGCUGCUUAGUCUCAGCUGUAAGAAAUAUUUAGCUUCUGUAGAUGUUAAAAACCUUCCUGAAGGAACUCCACACUGCAGUGUUUAUACUCCAGAGCACUUUCCUCCAGAGCCUGUGACUUGACAGCCUGGCCUUUCUCCUCUAGAGAUGAGGGAUGCAGGGUCUGUCGGUGGCAGAGGCUGGGUGGCACUGGGACUACAUGGUGCAUGUCCCUUCCUCUUACCCAUGCAUGCUGCCCACCCUAGGCAAUGGCAUAGAAGCAGUAUAUAGAUCAGUAUCCACUCACACACACUUAUACACAUACACACUCGGUGUGCUUGCACACACACACACACACACACAUACACACACACACACACACGAACAAGGAACACCAAAACAGUGUUGAUUGUUGUGUUUAAAGACAUGUUUUUUUUUCACCUGAAGAAUGGACUUAAACUAUGUAUUUAAAAAAAAAUAGCCUCAGUGUUAGAGAUGGUGAAUGUAUCCAGUUUCAGUUACAAAAACAAUUUCCUGAAUUUUAAGCAUUCAGUGAGCUGCCAAUUUUGAUUUUGUGUUGCUUUUUAUCCAAAUGGCUUUCUCUUUUCUUUUACUUUUUUCUUUUUUCUUUGUAAAUUGGAGGAAGUGGGGGGCGGGGAGCAGCAAUAUUGUGUUUGAAAAAUUAUACUCUGUACCUGGCUUUCCUGUGUUAUGUUAACCACUUCAAUGUUUUUAUUCUGCUUUGGUUUUAUAGUGUCUGUGAGGCAUUCGAUGCAACUAUACAGUUAUUUUCUCAUUAAAACUCAACGUGUAUAGUGUU